rnacentral:rRNA from 1 species
CCUACGGGAGGCAGCAGUGGGGAAUAUUGGACAAUGGGCGCAAGCCUGAUCCAGCCAUGCCGCGUGAGUGAUGAAGGCCCUAGGGUUGUAAAGCUCUUUCACCGGAGAAGAUAAUGACGGUAUCCGGAGAAGAAGCCCCGGCUAACUUCGUGCCAGCAGCCGCGGUAAUACGAAGGGGGCUAGCGUUGUUCGGAUUUACUGGGCGUAAAGCGCACGUAGGCGGAUCGAUCAGUCAGGGGUGAAAUCCCAGAGCUCAACUCUGGAACUGCCUUUGAUACUGUCGAUCUGGAGUAUGGAAGAGGUGAGUGGAAUUCCGAGUGUAGAGGUGAAAUUCGUAGAUAUUCGGAGGAACACCAGUGGCGAAGGCGGCUCACUGGUCCAUUACUGACGCUGAGGUGCGAAAGCGUGGGGAGCAACAGGAUUAGAUACCCUGGUAGUCCACGCCGUAAACGAUGAAUGUUAGCCGUCGGGCAGUAUACUGUUCGGUUGGCGCAGCUACGCAUAACUACUUCCGCCGUGGGUAGGUACGGUCGCGAGAUUAAACUACGAAGAAGUAGACGCGUGAGACGUGCCGACGGACGACGACGAGGGAGAGG